AAAUGUGCAACACAGAAUUGCAACCCUUCAAAACAUUUCUCCAAAACUUAAUGCAUUUUGAAAUAAUAUUAAACGGUAUCCGAUUAAUAUGAUUUUUGGCAUGAGGUUCCAAACAUUGUUGUGGGCCUGGAAGGGCCCACAAAAGGUUGAAUCAAACGGAAUUGGACGGAAAGGUACCUCAAAAUCCCAGAAAGAGAAUACCUAAAAUGAAGAAACAUUCUCCAAUCAGAGACAACUACUACUUUUGCCCUUUUUACAACAGAGUUCACACAUGAAACCUAUUCAAAUGCCUAAACGGCGUAAAGAAGGCAAUCAAUCAGUAAAAACACAAAGUCAACCCCCACCAACGGGCCGUUGCUUUUCUUUUUCCAAUCUCAGGUUUACAUAUUUUAUAGGUGACCUAACAUACUAAACAAAGACAGCUGUAUUAAUGGUGACAAGGCAAUGAUAGAGGGGAUAAUUAUGCUAAUAUUCGCAUCAAACAAGUUGGCUUCCUUUCUUUUUUUCAUUUUUUUUUUGCCUUCGAAUUUUGAUAACAACUAUAGUAAAAUGCUUUGCUUCACCAUUUGGCAUCUGAACUUACAUAAUCAACCAGAAGAAGAUUGUCGCACCGAACAAGCCACCACUUGUGCCCAUUG